GCCUACGGGGGGCAGCAGUGAGGAAUAUUGGUCAGUGGGCGCGAGCCUGAACCAGCCAAGUCGCGUGAGGGAUGACGGCCCUACGGGUUGUAAACCUCUUUUGCCGGGGAGCAACGGGCGUCACGUGUGGCGCCACUGAGAGUACCCGGAGAAAAAGCAUCGGCUAACUACGUGCCAGCAGCCGCGGUAAUACGUAGGGUGCGAGCGUUAAUCGGAAUUACUGGGCGUAAAGGGUGUGCAGGCGGCUGAGUAAGACAGAUGUGAAAUCCCCGGGCUUAACCUGGGAACCGCAUAUGUGACUGCUU
rnacentral:rRNA from 1 species